rnacentral:rRNA from 1 species
GACGUAGGGUGCGAGCGUUGUCCGGAUUUAUUGGGCGUAAAGAGCUCGUAGGCGGUCUGUUGCGUCCGCUGUGAAAACCCAGGGCUUAACCCUGGGCUGGCAGUGGAUACGGACAGACUAGAGGUAGGUAGGGGAGAAUGGAAUUCCCGGUGUAGCGGUGAAAUGCGCAGAUAUCGGGAGGAACACCGGUGGCGAAGGCGGUUCUCUGGGCCUGACCUGACGCUGAGGAGCGAAAGCGUGGGGAGCGAACAGG